UACGUAGGGUGCGAGCGUUAAUCGGAAUUACUGGGCGUAAAGCGUGCGCAGGCUGUUGCGUAAGACAGAUGUGAAAUCCCUGGGCUUAACCUAGGAAUUGCAUUUGUGACUGCGCGGCUAGAGUGCGGCAGAGGGGGAUGGAAUUCCGCGUGUAGCAGUGAAAUGCGUAGAUAUGCGGAGGAACACCGAUGGCGAAGGCAAUCCCCUGGGCCUGCACUGACGCUCAUGCACGAAAGCGUGGGGAGCAAACAGG
rnacentral:rRNA from 1 species